rnacentral:sRNA from 1 species
AGCCUGGACGGCUCCCUCCACGUCCCAAAAAUGUGAUGAGCCACUUGUCUCUGGACUCCCCCAUGUGGCUUUCAGCAGCUCCUCCUCCAUCUCUGGUAGCUAUUCUCCCGGCUAUGCCAAGAUAAACAAGAGAGGAGGUGCUGGGGGAUGGUCUCCAUCAGACAGCGACCAUUAUCAAUGGCUUCAGGUUGACUUUGGCAAUCGGAAGCAGAUCAGUGCCAUUGCAACCCAAGGAAGGUAUAGCAGCUCAGAUUGGGUGACCCAAUACCGGAUGCUCUACAGCGACACAGGGAGAAAUUGGAAACCCUAUCAUCAAGAUGGGAAUAUCUGGGCAUUUCCUGGAAACGUUAACUCUGAUGGUGUGGUCCGGCACGAAUUACAGCAUCCGAUUAUUGCCCGCUAUGUGCGCAUAGUGCCUCUGGAUUGGAAUGAAGAAGGUCGCAUUGGACUCAGAGUUGAAGUUUACGGCUGUUCUUACUGGGCUGAUGUUAUCAACUUUGAUGGCCAUGUUGUAUUACCAUAUAGAUUCAGAAACAAGAAGAUGAAAACACUGAAAGAUGUCAUUGCCUUGAAAUUUAAGACGUCUGAAAGUGAAGGAGUAAUCUUGCACGGAGAAGGACAGCAAGGAGAUUACAUUACCUUGGAACUGAAAAAAGCCAAGCUGGUCCUCAGUUUAAACUUAGGAAGUAACCAGCUUGGCCCCAUAUAUGGCCACACAUCAGUGAUGACAGGAAGUUUGCUGGAUGACCACCACUGGCACUCUGUGGUCAUUGAGCGCCAGGGACGGAGCAUUAACCUCACUCUGGACAGGAGCAUGCAGCACUUCCGUACCAAUGGAGAGUUUGACUACCUGGACUUGGACUAUGAGAUAACCUUUGGAGGCAUCCCUUUCUCUGGCAAGCCCAGCUCCAGCAGUAGAAAGAAUUUCAAAGGCUGCAUGGAAAGCAUCAACUACAAUGGCAUCAACAUUACUGAUCUUGCCAGAAGGAAGAAAUUAGAGCCCUCAAAUGUGGGAAAUUUGAGCUUCUCUUGUGUGGAACCCUAUACGGUGCCUGUCUUUUUCAAUGCUACAAGUUACCUGGAGGUGCCUGGACGGCUUAACCAGGACCUGUUCUCAGUCAGUUUCCAGUUUAGGACAUGGAACCCCAAUGGUCUCCUGGUCUUCAGUCACUUUGCGGAUAAUUUGGGCAAUGUGGAGAUUGACCUCACUGAAAGCAAAGUGGGUGUUCACAUCAACAUCACACAGACCAAGAUGAGCCAAAUCGAUAUUUCCUCAGUCUGCCAUGCCCUGCUCUGAAGAGGCACCCAUCAUUUGCCCCAGCAAGCCACCUAGCCUGUGGAGCAGAGUGACAAACAGCUCCACUUUGCUUGGCUCUGGGAGGAGGCCAUGGUCCUGACCCAGGGGUCCGUGGGGACCACAGGCUAUGACCUGGACAGUCCCUACAACUAUAAAAUGCCACCAAUGGAGGAAGCUCUUGUGAAAACAGACAUUCAGAUAGCUCUUCUGGGUGUUAUAAACGAGUAACUCCUUGUUCUGGCUUGGCUGCAAAACAGAUUAUAAAUGUAUGGCUAGUAUCAUACUUGAAGAUUAUAGAGGAAAUGUUGGUGUUCUGCUGUUUAAUUUAGGCAAGGAAAGUUUGAAGUAAAAAAGAAAAAGUGAUCCAGUUGCACAGCUCAUUUGUGAACAGAUUUUUUAUCCAAAUAUAGAAGAAGUUUAAAUUUUGAAUAACACUGAAGUGGGUUCAGGAGGUUUGGCUUUCAUCGGAA